rnacentral:rRNA from 1 species
UACGGAGGGUGCAAGCGUUAUCCGGAUUCACUGGGUUUAAAGGGUGCGUAGGUGGGUCUGUAAGUCCGUGGUGAAAUCUCCGAGCUUAACUUGGAAACUGCCAUGGAUACUAUAGGUCUUGAAUACUGUGGAGGUCAGCGGAAUAUGUCAUGUAGCGGUGAAAUGCUUUAGAUAUGACAUAGAACACCAAUUUGCGAAAGGCAGCUGGCUACACAAAAUAUUUGACACUGAGGCACGAAAAGCGUGGGGGAUCAAAACAGGA